rnacentral:sRNA from 1 species
GGGCAGGCCAUACGGACGCCAAAAAGUGUCCCUGGCCGCCUACACCCACUAUACAUCCACAAACCCGUGUGCACUGUCUUGGAGAAAGGCUUCAGAGAAGUUUUUUGUGGCCUCUCUUGGGGUCUUUCUUCGCUACAAACUCGAAUGGUUAGUAUGAACGUGGAACUUGGUUGGACCGUCACUGGCCAACAAACUAUACACAACUUUCGACAACGGAUCUCUUGGUUCUCCCAUCGAUGAAGAACGCAGCGAAACGCGAUAGGUAAUGUGAAUUGCAGAAUUCCGUGAAUCAUCGAAUCUUUGAACGCACCUUGCGCUCUAUGGCAAUCCGUAGAGCAUGCCUGUUUGAGUGCCAUGAAAUCUCCCACCCCAAGCGGUUUUUAAAUGAAACGGCUUGGCGGAUGGGGUCUGGAUGGGUGCCUCUGCCUGCGCUACCUAGCACAGGCUUGCCCGAAAUGCAUGAGCGCCUUGAGACACUUUGCAUCCGCCUCUCUGUUUGGGAGGAGGCGGCCAAGCAGUGUUUUUCUCCUGGCAUGGCAUGAUACGUCAUUUGCUAUGUCGCCUAAAGGAGGA